UACGGGGGGGGCAAGCGUUGUUCGGAAUUACUGGGCGUAAAGGGCUCGUAGGCGGCCAACUAAGUCAGACGUGAAAUCCCUCGGCUUAACCGGGGAACUGCGUCUGAUACUGGAUGGCUUGAGGUUGGGAGAGGGAUGCGGAAUUCCAGGUGUAGCGGUGAAAUGCGUAGAUAUCUGGAGGAACACCGGUAGCGAAGGCGGCAUCCUGGACCAAUUCUGACGCUGAGGAGCGAAAGCCAGGGGAGCAAACGGG
rnacentral:rRNA from 1 species